GAAGAGUUGGGGAUAACUUUUGUUAGAGAAAC
rnacentral:tRNA from 1 species